rnacentral:rRNA from 1 species
CGGCAACAGCUCAAAUUUGAAAUCUGGCCCCUAGGGUCCGAGUUGUAAUUUGCAGAGGAUGCUUUUGACAAGGUGCCUUCCGAGUUCCCUGGAACAGGACGUCAUAGAGGGUGAGAAUCCCGUAUGUGACUAGAUGCCUAAGUUUAUGUGAAGCUCCUUCGAC